GAUGGCGACCGGCGCACGGGUGCGUAACGCGUAUAUAACUUGCCUCGUACUGGAGAAUAGCCCGGAGAAAUUCGGAUUAAUGCUCCAUAGUAAUUUAAGGUCGCAUGGCUUAAAAUUUAAAGAUUUAUCGGUACGAGAUAGAUAUGCGUCCCAUUAGCUAGUUGGUGCAGGUAACGGCUCACCAAGGCGACGAUGGGUAGGGGUUCUGAGAGGAAGGUCCCCCACACUGGCACUGAGAUACGGGCCAGACUCCUACGGGAGGCAGCAGUAGGGAAUAUUGGGCAAUGGAGGCAACUCUGACCCAGCCAUGCCGCGUGAACGAUGAAGGCCUUCGGGUCGUAAAGUUCUUUUGUAUGGGAAGAAACUCACCCCUGCGGGGGUGCUUGACGGUACCAUAAGAAUAAGCACCGGCUAACUCCGUGCCAGCAGCCGCGGUAAUACGGAGGGUGCAAGCGUUGUCCGGAAUUAUUGCGUUUAUAGGGUGCGC
rnacentral:rRNA from 1 species